UACGAAGGGGGCUAGCGUUGUUCGGAAUCACUGGGCGUAAAGGGCGCGUAGGCGGCUUUAUAAGUCGGGGGUGAAAGCCUGUGGCUCAACCACAGAAUUGCCUUCGAUACUGUAGAGCUUGAGACCGGAAGAGGUAAGUGGAACUGCGAGUGUAGAGGUGAAAUUCGUAGAUAUUCGCAAGAACACCAGUGGCGAAGGCGGCUUACUGGUCCGGUUCGUGACGCUGAGGCGGCGAAAGCGUGGGGAGCAAACAGG
rnacentral:rRNA from 1 species